UACGGAGGAGGCAAGCGUUAUCCGGAAUUAUUGGGCGUAAAGCGUCCGCAGGUGGCAGUUCAAGUCUGCUGUCAAAGACCGGGGCUUAACUUCGGAAAGGCAGUGGAAACUGAACAGCUAGAGUAUGGUAGGGGCAGAGGGAAUUCCUGGUGUAGCGGUGAAAUGCGUAGAUAUCAGGAAGAACAUCGGUGGCGAAGGCGCUCUGCUGGACCAUAACUGACACUCAGGGACGAAAGCUAGGGGAGCGAACGGG
rnacentral:rRNA from 1 species